GACGAACGCUGGCGGCGUGCUUAACACAUGCAAGUCGAACGGAAAGGCCCUGCUUUUGUGGGGUGCUCGAGUGGCGAACGGGUGAGUAACACGUGAGUAACCUGCCCUUGACUUUGGGAUAACUUCAGGAAACUGGGGCUAAUACCGGAUAGGAGCUCCUGCUGCAUGGUGGGGGUUGGAAAGUUUCGGCGGUUGGGGAUGGACUCGCGGCUUAUCAGCUUGUUGGUGGGGUAGUGGCUUACCAAGGCUUUGACGGGUAGCCGGCCUGUGAGGGUGACCGGGCACACGGGAACUGAGACACGGGCGAGAGUCCUAGGGGAGGCAGCAGGGGGGAAUAGGGGACGAGGGGCGGGAGCCUGAGGGAGCGAUGCCGCGUGUAGGAAGAAGGCCUUGGGGGUGUAAAGGAGUGGAAGAGGGGAGGAAGGGAGGAAAGGUAAUACCUGGGAGAAGUGACGGUAACCGCAGAAGAAGCAACGGCUAACUCCGUG
rnacentral:rRNA from 1 species